UCCGUAGGUGAACCUGCGGAAGGAUCAUUACCGAGUACCGGAGCCUUCGGGCUCCUACUCCCACCCUAUGCUGACUUUGAAUGUUGCUUUGGCGGACCGGUGGUCUCACCGCCGGCCUAGGCUGGAGAGUGUCCGCCAGAGGAUUUUAAACUCUGUUUAAUGGUGAAAUCUGAAGUCUUGAUAAAUUGAAUCAAAACUUUCAACAACGGAUCUCUUGGUUCUGGCAUCGAUGAAGAACGCAGCGAAAUGCGAUAAGUAAUGUGAAUUGCAGAAUUCAGUGAAUCAUCGAAUCUUUGAACGCACAUUGCGCCCUUUGGUAUUCCGAGGGGCACGCCUGUUCGAGCGUCAUUUAAACCAUCAAGCCCUGCUUGGUCUUGGACUCGGUCGCGUGACCCGUCCGCAACCCGUUGGCGGUGCAGUCCGGCUUCAAGCGUAGCAAGAAUUUCGCUUCAGGAGUCCGUGGCGGCGUCUGCCGGGAAACACCACCUAAAGUUUGACCUCGGAUCAGGUGAGGAUACCCGCUGAACUUAA
rnacentral:rRNA from 1 species